UACGUAGGCAGCGAGCGUUGUUCGGAGUUACUGGGCGUAAAGGGUGUGUAGGCGGUUGUUUAAGUUUGGUGUGAAAUCUCCCGGCUCAACUGGGAGGGUGCGCCGAAUACUGAAUGACUUCGAGUGCGGGAGAGGAGAGUGGAAUUCCUGGUGUAGCGGUGAAAUGCGUAGAUAUCAGGAGGAACACCGGUGGUGUAGACGGCUCUCUGGACCGUAACUGACGCUGAGACGCGAAAGCGUGGGGAGCAAACGGG
rnacentral:rRNA from 1 species